UGACUGUACCCUAUGAAUAAGGGCCGGCUAACUUCAUGCCAGCAGCCGCGGUAAUACGAAGGGACCUAGCGUAGUUCGGAAUUACUGGGCGUAAAGCGCGCGUAGGCCGUUGAGUUAGUUAAUUGUGAAAUCCCAAAGCUUAACUUUGGAACUGCAAUUAAAACUGCUCGACUAGAGUUUGAUAGAGGAAAGCGGAAUACAUAGGGUAGAGGUGAAAUUCGUAGAUAUUAUGUAAAACACCAGUUGCUAAGGCGGCUUUCUGGAUCAACACUGACGCUGAGGCGCGAAAGUAUGGGUAGCAAAAAGGAUUAGAUACCCUCGAAGUCCAUACCAUACACGAUGAUUGCUAGAUGUUGGAAAUUUAUUUUCAGUAUCGCAGCUAACGCAUUAAGCAAUCCGCCUGGGGAGUACGACCGCCAGGUUAAAACUCAAAUGAAU
rnacentral:rRNA from 1 species